UCGUAGGUCAGCAUACUACGGUGAAUACGUUCCCGGGCCUUGUACACACCGCCCGUCAAACCAUGAGAGUUGGCAACACCCGAAGUCGGUAGUCUAACCGCAAGGAGGACGCCGCCGAAGGUGGGGUUGAUGAUUAGGGUUAAGUCGUAACAAGGUACC
rnacentral:rRNA from 1 species